CUGGUGUCUAUAAAUGAUGAAGAGAUACUAAUGAUGCACAUGCACAGAGAAAAGACUAUGUAUGUAGCAAGAAAGUCACCAUCUACAAGCCAAGGAGAUGGGUCUUAUACCAAACUAAGCUGCAGGCACCCCAAGGAAUGGAAAUGGAGCUGCCUAGGACUUCAGAGGAGCAGACCAAGCCAGAGACACCACCCAAAGAUCUCUCGAUGCCAUCUGGAGCUGUUGAGGUGAGUUGCGAUUGAGGGCUAAGAUGAGGUCAUACGAAUGGCCGCCAGCACAGACAAGCACAUCAUUAACAGCACCAUGGACAGAGGAAAUUACUACAGCAAGAGGGGAGAGUGAGACCAUUCUCCACCCUGACCUUUUAGCACACAGCUUCUCAAGCAGAGUGAAGAAAUGCCAAUGCAAAGAAGAGACCUCUAUAAAGUGCCACCAAUUCUAAAUGGAUCUCUAGCUCCAGAGUUGGCUCCUCAGUGGUUAAACACUCAUCAAACCUGACCAUUAGGCACCAUCUGCUGUGAGAUUAUUAGACCCAGCCAU